UACGGAGGGUGCAAACGUUGCUCGGAAUCACUGGGCGUAAAGCGCGCGUAGGCGGCCUUGUAAGUUGGGUGUGAAAGCCCUGGGCUCAACCCAGGAAGUGCAUUCAAAACUGCAAGGCUUGAGUACCGGAGGGGCUCAGAGAAUUCCUGGUGUAGAGGUGAAAUUCGUAGAUAUCAGGAGGAAUACCAGUGGCGAAGGCG
rnacentral:rRNA from 1 species